rnacentral:rRNA from 1 species
UACCAGCACCCCGAGUGGUCGGGACGAUUAUUGGGCCUAAAGCAUCCGUAGCCGGUUCUGCAAGUCCCCCGUUAAAUCCAGCUGCUCAACAGAUGGGCCGCGGAGGAUACUACAGAGCUAGGAGGCAGGAGAGGCAAGCGGUACUCAGUGGGUAGGGGUAAAAUCCGUUGAUCCAUUGAAGACCACCAGUGGCGAAGGCGGCUUGCCAGAAUGCGCUCGACGGUGAGGGAUGAAAGCUGGGGGAGCAAACCAGGG